rnacentral:rRNA from 1 species
GUUGAACGCUGGCGGCAUGCCUUACACAUGCAAGUCGAACGGCAGCACGGGAGCAAUCCUGGUGGCGAGUGGCGAACGGGUGAGUAAUAUAUCGGAACGUGCCCAGUCGUGGGGGAUAACGUAGCGAAAGCUACGCUAAUACCGCAUACGAUCUAUGGAUGAAAGCGGGGGAUCGCAAGACCUCGCGCGAUUGGAGCGGCCGAUAUCAGAUUAGGUAGUUGGUGAGGUAAAGGCUCACCAAGCCGACGAUCUGUAGCUGGUCUGAGAGGACGACCAGCCACACUGGGACUGAGACACGGCCCAGACUCCUACGGGAGGCAGCAGUGGGGAAUUUUGGACAAUGGGCGCAAGCCUGAUCCAGCAAUGCCGCGUGCAGGAUGAAGGCCUCGG